GCCCAGGUGGCGGAAUGGUAGACGCGCCAGUUUCAGGUACUGGUGUUAGCAAUGACGUGCAGGUUCGAGUCCUGUUCUGGGCA
rnacentral:tRNA from 2 species